rnacentral:rRNA from 1 species
GACGAAGGGGGCUAGCGUUGUUCGGAAUUACUGGGCGUAAAGCGCGCGUAGGCGGUCUUUCAAGUCAGGAGUGAAAGCCCCGGGCUCAACCCGGGAAUAGCUCUUGAUACUGUUGGACUUGAGUCCGGGAGAGGAUAGUGGAAUUCCCAGUGUAGAGGUGAAAUUCGUAGAUAUUGGGAGGAACACCAGUGGCGAAGGCGGCGACCUGGGCCAAUAUUGACGCUGAGGUGCGAAAGCGUGGGGAGCAAACAGG